rnacentral:snRNA from 1 species
CGUACUUACCUGGUCGGGAAAUUGUUCUGAAUUUUCUUUAACUAAUCUAAGUUCAGGGAUUUUAUAUACCCACGACAUAAUUUUUGCAGGAUUUCUGCUAUUAAAGCCACUAUGCACUCCAACUUAUUUUUCACAUUUAAAGUGAAGUUAUCG